CGGCGGCUCCCCGAACGCCGGAAGUUGCUCUGUCAGGAGCCCCGGUGGUUGCUCAUCAAGCGCGUGGUGACCGUUGCUUUUGACCCCCACCGCUUGCUUGCUAAGAUCGUGUUUCACUUUCGGGCAAAAGCCUGUUCAAAAUGCAAAGUGAGAACCUGGGACCAGUAAAUUACUAUGUUGGAAUUGAUGUUGGCACAUCGAGUGUCCGUGCGGCUUUGGUAGACCAGAUUGGCACGGUAGUGGCUUAUGCAGAGCAUCCAAUUCAAAUUUGGGCACCGCAACCUGACUAUUAUGAACAAUCCUCUGAUGACAUCUGGGCAGCUUGUUGUAUAGUCACAAAGAAAAUUACCCAAGGAAUAAAUAUUUCCCAGAUUCGAGGGCUUGGCUUUGAUGCUACCUGCUCCCUUGUUGUUUUGGAUAGUCAUUUUAAUCCUUUAGCAGUCAACUCUGAAGGAGAACACAAAAGAAACAUCAUCAUGUGGAUGGACCAUCGUGCAGUUAAUCAAGCAGCACGCAUCAAUGAGACACAGCAUAAUGUGCUGUCUUUUGUUGGUGGUGUGAUGUCGGUUGAAAUGCAGCCACCUAAAUUGCUAUGGAUGAAAGAAAAUUUGCCAGAGUCUUGCUGGGAAAAGGCAGGGCACUUCUUUGAUCUUCCGGAUUUCUUAUCAUGGAAAGCAACAGGUGCCACAGCAAGAUCUUUGUGUACACUUGUAUGUAAAUGGACAUACUCCUCAGAAACUGGCUGGGAUGAUAGUUUCUGGAAAUCAGUUGGAUUAGAAGAUCUGAUGGCAAAUAAAUACUCAAAAAUAGGAAAUGAAGUUCUCCCUCCAGGAAGUCCAGUUGGAAAUGGAUUAACAGCAGAAGCUGCAGAAGAUCUUGGUCUGUCUAAGGGGAUUGCUGUAGCUGCCUCUCUUAUUGAUGCACAUGCUGGAGGAUUAGGUAUGAUUGGAGCCAAUGUGAAAGGACAUAACAUGCCCUGUGAAAAUCAGCCAAUUGCUUCCCGAUUGGCUGUAAUAUGUGGGACAUCAUCAUGCCACAUGGCGGUUAGUAAGUCCCCUAUAUUUGUCCCUGGUGUUUGGGGACCCUAUUAUUCCGCAAUGGUGCCAGGAUUGUGGCUAAAUGAAGGAGGUCAAAGUGUAACAGGGAAACUGAUAGAGCAUAUUGUCCAAGGACAUGCUGCUUUCCCGGAACUACAAACAAAAUCUGAAGCCAGAGCUCAAAGUAUAUAUACAUACUUGAAUGGUCACCUGGAUCUGAUUAAGAAAUCUUUGCCUGUGGGUUUGCUCACUGUUGAUUUACAUGUUUGGCCAGAUUUCCAUGGCAACCGAUCUCCCCUUGCAGAUUUGACUCUAAAGGGCACGGUAGUGGGACUGACACUAUCUCAAAGUCUUGAUGAUCUUGCUCUUAUUUAUCUAGCUACAGUUCAAGCCAUUGCGUUGGGAACCAGACAUAUUGUAGAAACAAUGCAAGCCGCAGGGCAUCGUAUCAACACUCUCUUUAUGUGUGGUGGUCUGAGCAAGAACCCUCUCUUUGUCCAAAUGCAUGCGGACAUCGUUGGCAUGCCUGUUGUUCUAGCCCAAGAAGUGGAGUCUGUGCUAAUGGGUGCUGCUAUUCUUGGAGCCUGUGCUUCUAAAGAUUUUGCUUCCCUGCAGGGUUUUUAGGUGUCUUACCAUAACAAAGUAGGAAUCCAUUCUAUUAUAUAUAAGGUUGUGCAGUGAUGUUGAUUGGAAGAGGAAACCUGAUUCAGAGCAAGUGUGGAUGUAUGUGCCAUACCUUUUGGCAACCCCUUAAAGUAGAUGUUUUCCCUUAAGCUUCAUUUGACCCUGGAAAAAAUGUAUUUGAUUUAAGGCUGUGUCAACAGGUGUAACAUGCAUAUUUCUGCUCACUCAAAAGUAUCUUUUCCCUUUUAACUCAGAUACAUGACAUGGCUCACAAUCAUAAUCACAACAAUAAUUAUCAGACAUUUGAAUCUAAUCUUCUGUAUUCUUUUUUAUGAUGGCCAAAAUGUUACACUUGAACAGGACAACAAUAUAAUUGUUGUCAUAAAUUCUAUAUUCUGCCAAAGACAUUAGAAAUUUGAGAUAAAUAGGUGGGCUUGAGGCUUGAAUCACAUGACUUUUUUAAAAGUAUUUCUUUUGAGAAGGCAAUCGGCUUUGAUAACUACAGAUUUCUUUUUUGUUUAUAAAACCUGUACCUUUACCUCUUACAUUUCUCUCCUUCACGGAGCACGAUGGCUCAGUAGUUAAAGACCCUGAGCUUGUCAGCUGGAACAGAGUGAGCUCCUGUUAUUUGCCCAGUUCCUGCCCACCGAGCAAUACAAAAGCAUGCAAAUGCAAGUAGAUAACUAGAUACCACUUCAGAGUAUAGUCAUUCUGCCUCAGAGUAUAGUCAUUCUGGCCACAUGACCAUGGAAAUGCCUUCAUACAAAUGCCCCCUAGAGUCAGAGACAGGAAAUCUUUACCUUUAUAUACAACACACACACACACACACACACACACACACACACACAGCGUGGCACUUUAAUAUGUUGUAGUAAUUCCUUAAGAUGUGUGGUUUAAUGUACUUAAUCCUGGGCUGGAUUAGUCAUUUGCUUCCUUAAGCAAAAAGUUUGCGAAUAUUUCUGCAAAGUCAGUUCUCUCAUAUCAAUAACUUGUGCCAGAUUGAGCGCUCUUUAUGAUAUUGUGAAAACAAUUAUACAACAGACAACCUAGACAUAGAGAGACAGAAUGUGAAUAUCUCAGUAGAAAUUGAAUUAUUGGUUUCUUUCAUUCAUUCCCUCUAUUAAAGAAUCUAUUUGCUAACUGAUUGUAUUUUACUGUGAUGUAAAAUCCAAAUAGAAUGAAAGGUGCUAUAGUUGUUAAGGUGUUAGAAAGCCAUCAGGAAGAUCCAAGUUUAAGUCCAUGAAGACAUGGAAGCUUACUGGUAGCCUUGGGCCAACAAGUCACUCUUGGCCCAACUGACUCUGCAAGCUAUUUGUGAGGAUAAUAGUUGAAGCGGGAGUAACAAUAUUAAGAGCUGCCUGGAUAACUCCUAUUCUGUAGAUGGGGAGGACUGUUGGUUUAUGGUAGCACCAGGUAGGAUUCUUUUUGUCUGAUGAAGUGAAUUGCAGCGUAAUAAAACAUAUUCCUUUCAAUAAAAUGUGUAGGCUGGAAAAGGUGCUACUAGCUUUCUGAUUUUUCCUCCCUCUCAAAUGUCUUAGCUAAAAUGAGCAUUUGUGAUUGAGAGUAGCUAAUGAAAUCUUCUUGUUAACACUGUGGCCUGAUUCACUCCUCUUCAUUUCUAACUAUAUUUAAAUGCAGUGCAUCAGUGCAAAAGGGAGAUGCUGAUUUUGAUCCAGUCUCAGCUAUAGGAGCUCACUAUCCCAAAGUACACAGUAAUUAUGGUGGGAGAUAUUUGGAGGAGGGAGUGCUAUGGACACUGAUUGACAUUCUUGAAGGAAGCAUGAGUUAUAAACCAAACAACUUGAGGAAGCAGGAUGCUAUGGAGAAAAUGGAGAAAAUUGGGCGGAUUGUGCUGCCAAACCACAAGGAUAAAAGAUUUUAUGACAAGAAAUACCAAGUGUUUCUAAAACUUGCGGAAG